UACGGAGGGUCCAAGCGUUAUCCGGAAUCAUUGGGUUUAAAGGGUCCGUAGGCGGGUCUGUAAGUCAGUGGUGAAAUCUCCCGGCUCAACCGGGAAAUGGCCAUUGAUACUGCAGGUCUUGAAUUAUUGGGAAGUAACUAGAAUAUGUAGUGUAGCGGUGAAAUGCUUAGAGAUUACAUGGAAUACCAAUUGCGAAGGCAGGUUACUAUCAAUAUAUUGACGCUGAUGGACGAAAGCGUGGGUAGCGAACAGG
rnacentral:rRNA from 1 species